CUGAAGGGCAAACUCUCAUCUGUUUCAAAAUUCAACUUGGUGCACACGGGCACUGAAACAUUUUAUCAAUGCACAAUAAAAUAAAGAACAAACACAAUGGUCUAGUUGGGAAUCCAAAUGAUUGACUUUAACACAUCAGCGUACACUCAAAUUAUAGAAAAUUUGUUCUUUCCGAAAAUGGAAACUAACAUCAACAGGUCACAUGCUCCAUCUGCCAUUUGGACUGCUCUUCUCCCCAUGCCUCCCCUUCAAUCACUCACCAUAUUAGUAACACCUGAAUACAAAAAACCACUUAUGAAUUAUACUGGUAUGCAAAACAUUGUAUACUCUGAAGCAUAGCAUUGCCACUAAGUAAGAUGGGCACUCUCAUAUAUUUAAAACCAGAAAAUAUUAUAAACUAUGUAUUCAAGAGAUAUGAUCUAGAAUGGUCUACUAUAAACCCAUAUACUUUAUAUCAAAAGUUUAGUUUUUGUGAACUAUACUGUCUAUAAAAGAUAGGUCAAAUGGUUAAAAACUGACAUGUAAACAACAAACGCAAACUAUAGCCAGUCGCCAGUCAACAAAGCCCUUUUUCUGCAAGGCCGACAUCACGGCAGCCAUCACUCAUGGCCUGCCUUCGAGGCACGACACGAAGGUUACCAAAGGUCAGUGCUACUGCAGGUGUUUCUAUUCACAUCAUCAACAGUUUAUUUUCUUAUGAAAAGAGAAGUUCUAGGAAGUGUCGGCAUUUUAGAACGGUUAUCCAUUUUCUUUCUAAUGCAAGAAUGUGCAUUAACUAUGGGUCACACACUGAACAAAGAUUAAUGCAUUCAACAAUUUUGCACUUGUAUUAGCUUAUUUUCGUACAGAUAUAUGAACCCUCCAAUUAGUCAAUUAAAUUUGAUUGUACAUAAACUUUCAGCUACUGAACUAAAACGGAAACAGGAGAAAGCACACACACACACACGCGCGCGCGCGCGCGCACGCAUGCAUGCACACACGCUCGCAUAUUUUACAUUUCCUCCAAGAUCUGACUGAAUAUUAAAUAUCACCGACCGCUAAGAAAACAAAAGAAGUCACAAUAGGACUAUAUAAAGCAUUAUGUAGAACAUUUGGGCCGUACACAGAGCAGGGAGCCUAAUGCUUUAACUUUGAUGGAGUUAUCAAUUUAAGCUUUAAACACUAUUGUGAAGGAGCUUUACCUAGGUUGUAGCACCAGAGCACAUGAAUCCAAAAAAAACUAACCCUUAGAAAUAAGUCCCAAGAGCCUAGUAUUUAGAAACCUAUAAGUCUGGGUAAACAUAAGACCAUUCAUACACUUGAUCUGCUAAUAACUAAGCAACACAUAGUAGUUAUCUUCGUGCUAGUAAAGAGAGCCAACCAAACAACCAAUAUGCCUAUGCUUCAGGGAAGAAAAAAUUGCCUGAAGGAAUAACCUUGGCUGAUAAUUUAUAAAUACACCACGAAAAUCAUCUCCAAGUUUAACAGGUACAUGCUACUUUAAAUCAAAAGAACACAAAAGGAUCAUGUGUAACAUGGUUCUUACCUUCUGCCGUUUUGGAAAUUAUUGUACGCUGAAAUCUACAGCUUCUACUGGACAAUGAACAUGUGUUAAGAAGACAAGUAUAGUUUAGAAAGGUGUGCAUAACAAAAUAUAGAGCGCGUGUCCCCUCCUCCCAUCCUCUUCUACCCUGCAACGACAGAGAGUAAAAAUUCCUCAGUUCUUCAGCUAUCUAUGAAUCAAGCUUUUGGUCCUAGGAUGCACAACCAAUAAAAAGCAUUAUAAUUUUGUAAGGUACGAACAGCUGUACCUUGAAGCACAAUCAACAUGCAGGAAUCAUCAUCUUCAUAAAGUAAUAAGUAAUCUUGGUCAUCCAUGCACCGACUGUAUCUUGCUUGCUAAUUUCCACCUGUGUCACAAAUAAGGCAAUGUCAUGUUCAGACUGAAGGUGAAAGAAGCACACAUUCAGUUUCUAAUUUAAUUUAGUACUAAUAAAAUCUCUAUGAAGAAGCAGACCAACUGCUGGAAAUAAACUGGCAUGGAACUAAAUCAGUGUCCACAAAACCAUAUAGAUAUGCAUGCUCAUCAAGCAUGUCAUACAUUUUACCAGAAUGGAAGCUUAGCUAGUGCUAGUGCCCUAACUCAAGAACCUCCAGCCCACAUAAUAGAAAUUCGUCCAUCUUAGCCAUGAAUUCACUUAAUCAGGAGACAAAAUAAAUGCUUUCCUCAGACACUGUACACUGAAGAAACAAAAGUAUGCAGGCUGAACCGAUAAGCUCUUAUGACUGAACAAAUCCCAUCUUCAAACAUCAUCAUUCUAGGCAAGAAAAUAACAGAAUAAAGCCCAUCUACAGUUAUAAUAUCAGUCCCCAGUUUGGCACUUAACUCUUAAGGCUUUAGGUCUCUAGACACAUCGAUAUGAUGUAUCCAUAUAUAUAAUCGUAGCAAUACACUGUUGGAAGAUUAAAAGAUAGUUCCGACGUAUUUUCCAGAAUUUUCUCUAGGAUGAACACAGGAGCUUGAAAGGAGGGCUAAUACUGGGUUUACCAAGCAACAUACCUGUGCACCAUCAACAAUGGCAUAAUUCGGACUUGCAGAUGAUCAUUGGGACAUGAAAAACAGAUAAAAAUGCAUUGAAAGCUUUGGACCUGAAAUAUAGAAGAUUACCCCCUUGGUAUACCCAUGAGAAAUACACGUAAGCGUCAACCAAAUGCAAUCACAGUCAAGUAUGAUUUCUUUAAUCUAUUUAGUGUGCUUUUCAUGUACUGUGCAAGUAGCAAGGGGCUGUUCUUCAAUAAACAACAUCUUAUUAGCUUCAGAUGACUUCCAUUGACACUAUACUGCUAAUUUAAGUUAAUUAAGUUGUGAUCCUAAUAUUCAGGUAAAAAAUCACAUGGAAAGUCAAACUGAACCGGGAUUAUGGAUCAACAUAUUAUGAUAUACCAAGGUUACCAUGACAAUGCAGAUAUUAUGGAGGCUAAUUUAAGAAUGUAAACUAUAUAUAUAUAUAUAUUAUUUAUAUAUAUAUAUAUAUAUAAACAUUUAAUGACAUCAAACAAUUACGGGUUGCGGUUUUAAACAAAAAUACAUGAUUGAUCAUUGCAUAUAACUACGAUUAUAAAGGUACACUAUGUUUUCUAAUAAAUGAAAAGGCAACUACUCUUAAUGUCUAUAAUUAUAAUUCAAUUAUGUGUCGAUAAGAAAGCAGCAAUCAUUGCGGAUACCUUUAUAAGCUUCCAGUGAUCCUGUGAGCAUAUGCUAAUACUCCUUAACAUAAAUCUCACUUGUCAUCACCAUCGUCUCUGUCUUGGUGGAAUCACAUCCUCUAUCUGCAAACUGAAACAAUAGCAACAUCAAAUCCCUCCUGAAGAUUUCACCCUGGACCUUCCCGCUGCUGAUCUGCAUAGGCAUGUCAUUCCGUUAACCAAGCAAACUCAACAAUCCACACCAUGCAUGUGAACUUCUUCAGGAAUGGACUAUGAUGCCGGGGCUGACCUCUCAUAAGGUAUGUAGAGCUGAACAUUGUACCAGUUACAUUUUUUAAGGAAAUAAGCUUGUUGGGAGUUAGAACUCCUUUGCAAUUUGCAAGAGGUGUCCGUAGUAUACAAGAUUUUCAAGCUAACUAAGUGGAAAUACAAAGGAUCUGAAAGAGCUGUAAUGCUUUGAUAUAUGAAAUCAAUGUCAUCUACAGCAGUACAACACUAGUGACAUCUUUUGAGCAAUAUAUCCACCCGCCGGCAAUCUAUAU
rnacentral:lncRNA from 1 species